UCCCCCAGCACCUUUACUCCCUCCAUCUCCAGCACCUGCCCCUGCCCCACACUUUGUAAACCUUGCUGACCUUCUCUCCGUCGCCGGUCCUUUCCAUACCUUCCUCAACUAUCUUGAACAAACUCAAGUCAUCCAAACCUUCCAAAACCAAGCUAACAACACUAAACAAGGCAUCACCAUCUUUGUUCCAAAGGACUCAGCCUUCUCAUCACUUAAAAAGACUACCUUCUCCAACCUU
rnacentral:lncRNA from 1 species